AAGUCGUAACAAGGUUUCCGUAGGUGAACCUGCGGAAGGAUCAUUACCACAUUAUAAUCGGGGGGGAGACUUCGGUUUCCCCUGUCUGAACCCUUGUCUUUUGCGUACUAUUUGUUUCCUUGGUGGGCUUGCCCGCCGAUAGGACAACCAUUAAACCUUUUGUAAUUGUAAUCAGCGUCAGAAAAACAUAAUAAUUACAACUUUCAACAACGGAUCUCUUGGUUCUGGCAUCGAUGAAGAACGCAGCGAAAUGCGAAAAGUAGUGUGAAUUGCAGAAUUCAGUGAAUCAUCGAAUCUUUGAACGCACAUUGCGCCCAUUAGUAUUCUAGUGGGCAUGCCUAUUCGAGCGUCAUUUCAACCCUUAAGCCUCUGUUGCUUAGCGUUGGGAGUCUACGGGUUACCCUGUAGUUCCUGAAAACCAUUGGCGGAGUCAGGGAGCACUCUAAGCGUAUUACACAAUCUUUUUGUCUCGCUUUGGAUAUUGCCCCGCCUCCACGCCGUAAAACCCCCCAUAUCAAAUGUUGACCUCGGAUUAGGUAGGAAUACCCGCUGAACUUAA
rnacentral:rRNA from 1 species